CUCCGGCCCGAUCCUCCCACCCUUUGUGUACCUACCUCUGUUGCUUUGGCGGGCCGCGGUCCUCCGCGGCCGGCCCCCCUCCCCGGGGGGUGGCCAGCGCCCGCCAGAGGACCAUCAAACUCCAGUCAGUAAACGAUGCAGUCUGAAAAACAUUUAAUAAACUAAAACUUUCAACAACGGAUCUCUUGGUUCUGGCAUCGAUGAAGAACGCAGCGAAAUGCGAUAAGUAAUGUGAAUUGCAGAAUUCAGUGAAUCAUCGAAUCUUUGAACGCACAUUGCGCCCUUUGGUAUUCCGAAGGGCAUGCCUGUUCGAGCGUCAUUACAACCCUCAAGCUCUGCUUGGUAUUGGGCACCGUCCUUUGCGGGCGCGCCUCAAAGACCUCGGCGGUGGCGUCUUGCCUCAAGCGUAGUAGAACAUACAUCUCGCUUCGGAGCGCAGGGCGUCGCCCGCCGGACGAACCUUCUGAACUUUUCUCAAGGUUGACCUCGGAUCAGGUAGGGAUACCCGCUGAACUUAAGCAUAUCAAUAAGCGGAGGAA
rnacentral:rRNA from 1 species